rnacentral:rRNA from 1 species
GAUGAACGCUGGCGGCGUGCCUAAUACAUGCAAGUCGAGCGAACAGGUGAGGAGCUUGCUCCUCUGACGUUAGCGGCGGACGGGUGAGUAACACGUGGAUAACCUACCUAUAAGACUGGGAUAACUUCGGGAAACCGGAGCUAAUACCGGAUAAUAUAUUGAACCGCAUGGUUCAAUAGUGAAAGACGGUUUUGCUGUCACUUAUAGAUGGAUCCGCGCCGCAUUAGCUAGUUGGUAAGGUAACGGCUUACCAAGGCAACGAUGCGUAGCCGACCUGAGAGGGUGAUCGGCCACACUGGAACUGAGACACGGUCCAGACUCCUACGGGAGGCAGCAGUAGGGAAUCUUCCGCAAUGGGCGAAAGCCUGACGGAGCAACGCCGCGUGAGUGAUGAAGGUCUUCGGAUCGUAAAACUCUGUUAUUAGGGAAGAACAAAUGUGUAAGUAACUAUGCACGUCUUGACGGUACCUAAUCAGAAAGCCACGGCUAACUACGUG